rnacentral:tRNA from 2 species
GGUCGCGUAGCUCAGUUGGUAGAGCACUACCUUGACAUGGUAGUGGCCACUGGUUCAAGUCCAGUCGUGGCCACCA